AGCAGUCGCCGCGGGAAUACGGAGGGGGCUAGCGUUGUUCGGAAUUACUGGGCGUAAAGCGCACGUAGGCGGCUUUGUAAGUUAGAGGUGAAAGCCCGGAGCUCAACUCCGGGAUUGCCUUUAAGACUGCAGAGCUAGCAGGUGAGAGAGGUGAGUGGAAUUCCGAGUGUAGAGGUGAAAUUCGUAGAUAUUCGGAAGAACACCAGUGGCGAAGGCGGCUCACUGGCUCAUACUGGACGCUGAGGUGCGAAAGCGUGGGGAGCAAACAGGAUUAGAUACCCCCGUAGUCCCUGUCUCUUAUAC
rnacentral:rRNA from 1 species